rnacentral:ncRNA from 2 species
UUAAAUAAAAUUAGUUUGAGUUUUAGGGAAAAAGGUAAAAGCCUUUGCAGCCCCCGCUACUGUGAAACGGAUGAAACCAUAAUAUCCACUGUCAAGUUGAUGGGAAGGUAUGGGAGUAAAAUGAUGUUAAGCCAGGAGACCUGCUUAAAUUAAUUAUUUAAA